AAAGAAGUCCAACUUAUUUUCAUCAGGCUAUAAGCAUUAGAGUCUCCUUUACCAUUAAGAACAGGCAUCCUGCACACCUCUGAGGUUACUUUAAAAGGCAUUCUUUUAACACUUUUAUGGAAUACCUAAGUCUAUCGUUUAUCUUUAUGUACACAUACUGUCAUAAUUUGGUACGUGUCAAACCCUAUACUCGUCGCAUUGUGUCGAAGAAAAUGAUUUGGCACUUAGCACUUGCUCAGCACUCAUCACACUUGCUAGAACUUGUAUGAGUUAUGACACCUCCCAAUAAGAGAACUGCUUCAUCACACAUUGCUUGCAAAAUUUGUUCGGUAUUCAUUGGUUUCAGCACUUGUCACAAGUUCCAGGAUGAAUUAACGACGAGUCCUGAGGUACCACUGUUUCUCUAUGUGCCCAGCUCUGUGCUUGGCACUGGGUUUGUAAGUUUAACUAAGAUAAUGGUGUUUGCCCUCCAGGAACACAAUCAACAAAGGAGGAGGGGAAAAAGUAAUGUAAAAAAACAGUAUAACAACAUGGUGACCACUAUUUCAGAGAAACUUAUGAUUUGGAUCAUAAGGACAAAUAAUCUAAAAUAUUACCAAUUUUAUUUAACAGAAUCUAAGAUUAGUGUACCUACACAUUAAAUAUUUCAAGCUAUCAAGUCAAACUACUCAUAAAAAUACUUUGUACCCAGAAGAUGUGAAUUACGGUAACAUUAUAAAACAUGGUGCACCAGAAAACCCAUUGGGAUCAAAGACUGACAAAGUAACACACCUUGGCUUAGGUUUUCCUGACACAUAAAGGGAAAAAAUCAGAUCAAAAGCAUAAACUGUGAUGACAGUCUCCUAGGAAAUAGGCAUUAGUGUUACCACAGUGAUGAAAUAUUUUCAUUACUUUUUAAGUUAAUUUUUAAAGUUACUUUAUGCCACAUAAGAUAGUACUUCAUGUAGAGGUCUUAAAUGUUAUUCAAGACUACUGUCUAUCUGCCUCCCCAAAAGUUAAGAAGAGUAUGUGAGUAAUUCUGGGUUCUCUCCAUACUAAGAAUAUCAUUGUUUCUAUCACUAUUCAUAGAUAAUUUGAUGGUUUAAAGAAAGACAGAAUAAGUGGGAAAAACAUUAAACAAAUUAUCUCAAUGUUAGGAAAUAAUUUAAUACAUAGGAUCUUACUUUAAACCAUUUCAAAGGUCCUUAACAGAAGUCAUCAUCAUUCAUCAUAAACAGAAUCAUUUUAAAUACCAACAUAGAAAACAUAUUUAUGUAAAUCCUUACCUAUAAAUUUAUAUUUAUAUAAAUUUGUUUAUAAAAUAUGUCUCACUUAUAUAACUAAAUACACACACACACACACACACACACACACACACAUACACGACAUAAAACAAGCACUCAUGCCUCCAAAUGUCCAAAAUUUACUGGGACUAAAACAUUCAAUUCAUUUAAUAUCAAAAACAACAUGAUACUCUCUGAUUAUUACACAUUAGCCCCCAACUCAAAUAUGUCCAUUGAAAUCAGUGUAUAACUCAUCCAAUUCUCUUGAUCAUUUUUCAUCCAAGUAAUGCAACCUCCAUGUUCAAUUCUAGGUAAAGUAAUCCUGUUUAGGUUUUUAAAGGGUGGUUUAUGCAUUUCAAGUUACCUUUUACUUUUUUUGCAUAUUCAAUGAUAUGAUGCUUACUCCAAAUAACAUGAUUAAUUAAAAUACUUAUAUUUUUAAAUAUGUGUGUAUAUGAGUGUGGGUGUGUUUAAAUCAUAUAUGAGCUCAAAGAAACCCAGCAAAUAAUGGUCCAAUUAAAAUAAAUAUGCAAAUAAGUAAUUUAUACAUGUUUUCUACAAUUCAUCCAUUUAAUAAAGCUUAGACAAUAUCCCAAAGAAAUUCCAGUGUGAAGGAAAAAAGGAAAGCAAAGCUACCCAGCUUUUACAAGGGUACACCUUGUUUCUAGAUUAAAAUCAACCUGGUAAAGACUACCUAAACCUCUGAAUAAUGUUUGUUACAUGUAUGAAAAUAAGGAACUAUUAAGUAAAAUGUAGAAAUAUUAUA